AACGAACGCUGGCGGCAGGCUUAACACAUGCAAGUCGAACGCAUCGCAAGAUGAGUGGCGGACGGGUGAGUAACGCGUGGGAACAUACCCAUUUCUACGGAAUAGCUCUGGGAAACUGGAAUUAAUACCGUAUACGCCCUACGGGGGAAAGAUUUAUCGGGGAAGGAUUGGCCCGCGUUGGAUUAGCUAGUUGGGGGGGGAAAGGCCUACCAAGGCGACGAGCCAUAACUGGUCUGAGAGGAUGAUCAGCCACAUUGGGGCUGAGACACGGCCCAAACUCCUACGGGAGGCAGCGGUGGGGAAUAUUGGACAAUGGGCGCAAGCCUUAUCCAGCCAUGCCGCGUGAGUGAUGAAGGCCUUAGGGUUGUAAAGCUCUUUCACCGAUGAAGAUAAUGACGGUAGUCGGAGAAGAAGCCCCGGCUAACUUCGUGCCAGCCGCCGCUGUAAGAC
rnacentral:rRNA from 1 species